rnacentral:lncRNA from 1 species
AUCUCCUUGACGAUUUUCAGGUUGUCUGCUACCAGCUUUAUAAUUCCCAAUCACAGGAUCUAAAAAUAAGGCUGAUUACGCCAGCAGUUACUAUUUUUUUUCAAUCAUGUUCAUGUGUGAUUUUCUUGAUUGUCAUUUGUAACAUUCAUUUGUAAUAAACUCGUUUGUUUUUGAAUAAUAAUGACAUUGAAAUGAAUAUGCAUAUUGUUG